rnacentral:rRNA from 1 species
CAAUAGCGUAUAUUAAAGUUGUUGCGGUUAAAAAGCUCGUAGUUGGAUUUCUGUUGGGAACGACCGGUCCGCCCAUUGGGUGUGUAUCUGGCUUGUUCUCGGCAUCUUCUUGGUGAACGUUGCUGCACUUGACUGUGUGGAGCGCUACCCAGGACUUUUACUUUGAGGAAAUUAGAGUGUUUCAAGCAGGCAUAUGCCUUGAAUACAUUAGCAUGGAAUAAUAAGAUAGGACCUCGGUUCUAUUUUGUUGGUUUCUAGAGCUGAGGUAAUGAUUAAUAGGGAUAGUUGGGGGCAUUCGUAUUUAACUGUCAGAGGUGAAAUUCUUGGAUUUGUCAAAGACGGACUACUGCGAAAGCAUUUGCCAAGGAUGUUUUCAUUGA